rnacentral:lncRNA from 1 species
UUGAUUUAGGAUUUGUUUAGAGUUUGAUUUAAGAUUUGUUUAGAGUUUGAUUUAAGAUUUAAGAUUUGUCUAAGAUUUGGUUCAGGAUUUAGGAUUUGUUUAGGAUUUGAUUUAGGAUUUAUUUAGGAUUUGAUUUAAGGUUUAUAGCUUGUCUAGGAUUUGAUUUAGGGCUUAAUAUUUGUUUAGGAUUUGAUUUAGGAUUGAGAAUUUGCUUAGGAUUUAGAAUUUUGCCUAGGAUUUGAUUGAAGUCCAUUAGAAUUUCAAUUAGGAUUAAAUAAAGACUUGAUUGAGAUUUAUUUAAGAUGUAUUUUUUUUUGUUAUUCUAGUAUUCUUUAAGAUUUCUUAAGGAUUCUUUUAAGAUUUAUUGUAGAUUUCUUAUUGUUUCUUUUGUAAUUUCUUUCAAGUUUUUUUUGGAUUCAUUUAAAGCAUGGUUAAUAUUGUUAAUAUUUUAAUUAGAUUUAUUUAAUAUUCUAUUAGAAUUAGAAUUUUGUUGUUACAAUUUUUAUUCUACCUUCCACAAUCAGGUGCCUAGUGCAUUCUCAA